rnacentral:rRNA from 1 species
UGGGGAAUAUUGGACAAUGGGGGAAACCCUGAUCCAGCAAUGCCGCGUGAGUGAUGAAGGCCUUAGGGUUGUAAAGCUCUUUCGGCGGGGACGAUGAUGACGGUACCCGCAGAAGAAGCCCCGGCUAACUUCGUGCCAGCAGCCGCGGUAAUACGAAGGGGGCUAGCGUUGUUCGGAAUUACUGGGCGUAAAGCGCACGCAGGCGGCUCGUUGAAUUAGAAGUGAAAGCCCUGGGCUCAACCCGGGAAUUGCUUUUAAGACUGGCGAGCUAGAAUCCGGAAGAGGGUAGCGGAAUUCCCAGUGUAGAGGUGAAAUUCGUAGAUAUUGGGAAGAACACCGGUGGCGAAGGCGGCUACCUGGUCCGGUAUUGACGCUCAGGUGCGAAAGCGUGGGGAGCAAACAGGAUUAGAUACCCCGGUAGUCC